rnacentral:tRNA from 1 species
UGGUGUAUAGCUCAGUGGUAGAGCAUUUGACUGCAGAUCAAGAGGUCCCUCAUUCAAAUUGGGUUGCUUCCA